CAGUCGCCGCGGUAAUACGGAGGGUGCAAGCGUUAAUCGGAAUUCUGGGCGUAAAGCGCACGCAGGCGGUCUGACAAGUCAGAUGUGAAAUCCCCGGGCUUAACCUGGGAACUGCAUUUGAAACUGUCAGGCUGGAGUCUUGUAGAGGGGGGUAGAAUUCCAGGUGUAGCGGUGAAAUGCGUAGAGAUCUGGAGGAAUACCGGUGGCGAAGGCGGCCCCCUGGACAAAGACUGACGCUCAGGUGCGAAAGCGUGGGGAGCAAACAGGAUUAGAUACCCGUGUAGUCCCUGUCUCUUAUACA
rnacentral:rRNA from 1 species